rnacentral:rRNA from 1 species
UACGAAGGGGGCUAGCGUUGCUCGGAAUUACUGGGCGUAAAGGGCGCGUAGGCGGCACUGUUAGUCAGGCGUGAAAGUCCUGGGCUCAACCUGGGAACUGCGCUUGAUACGGCAGAGCUAGAGGAUGGAAGAGGCUCGCGGAAUUCCCAGUGUAGAGGUGAAAUUCGUAGAUAUUGGGAAGAACACCGGUGGCGAAGGCGGGUCUCUGGGCAAUAACUGACGCUGAGGAGCGAAAGCGUGGGGAGCGAACAGG